UAAGAUGAAGCUUUAAGCGAUUUAUUUACAUUAAAUAGUUCUUUGGGAACAAAGCAUUUUAA
rnacentral:tRNA from 1 species